GGACUACCGGGGUAUCUAAUCCCGUUCGCUCCCCUGGCUUUCGCGCCUCAGCGUCAGAUGAGGUCCAGCAGGGCGCUUUCGCCACCGGCGUUCCUUCCGAUCUCAACGCAUUUCACCGCUCCACCGGAAGUUCCCCCUGCCCCUACCUCCCUCCAGACGAUCCGUUUCCAAGGCACUUUUCCGGUUAAGCCGAAAGCUUUCACCCCGGACAAGAUCGCCCGCCUACGCGCCCUUUAAGCCCAGUGAUUCCGAACAACGUUUGCACGGUUCGUCUUACCGCGGCUGCUGGCAC
rnacentral:rRNA from 3 species